GGAGGGAUGGCCGAGUGGUCGAUGGCGGCGGUCUUGAAAACCGUUGGACCCGGAAGGGUACCGGGGGUUCGAAUCCCUCUCCCUCCGCCA
rnacentral:tRNA from 1 species